UUUUGAUCUCUUGCUAGGAACAUGUAAUAGAAUCAAAAUCACUAAAACAUACAGUAGAGAUUGUUGUUUCUCUAGCGAUCUUGCUAACGCAUCAUCCACCUGAUUGUCAUCUCUACUGACAUAAUCAAAAGUGCAUAAAUUGAAACAACAUGUUAUCGAUCAAGCCCAGAGAAACUAUGAAACAACAUAUUACAGUAAAACCUCUGUUUCAGAAUAUUAUUGGGACCAUAUAUAAUUAUUCUUAUAUGGAGUUUAUUCUUUUAUAAAGCAUACAUCAACAACUCCUUGAAUAAUUUCCCUACAACAGCCUGCAUCUUGUGCGACUGGUAAGUUAUUACUCAACAGGAGCCUACUGAUGUUGAUAUCACCAAGAAAAGACAUGUGUAUUCCAAAAUAGAGAAGUAAGUGUUGAUAUUGAUAUCACCAAGAAAAGAAAGAUCUCUUCUAGCCAAGGGUAAAAGAAAAUUAGUUAGAAGGUGAUCAAAUGGAAAGGUUCAACGAGCUUUCAAUGUUUCUAACUAUCUUCAAGAUCGCUAGAGAAACAACAAUCUCUACUGUAUGUUUUAGUGAUUUUGAUUCUAUUAUAUGUUCCUAGCAAGAGAUCAAAGCACUAGUCAUUAAAUAAAAAAAAAAAUUAUCAGAGAAAAAAAAAAGUUUCUCUUGGUGAAUAUAUUGCUUACAAAACACAAGUUAUCCGAAUAAAAGGGCGUAUCUUUUUGGUCAAAAGAUGCGUCAAUUUGUCUAGUA